CUACGGGAGGCGCGGGGGGACACGCCGGGCCGCGGGGCGUCUCCGCCUCAGGGCCCUGCCGGGGAGGCCUUCUCUCCCGGCAGCUCCAGGCCUCCCCCCCACCCCCCCAGAGCCGCCACUCGCUGCUCCCCGCCCCGCUGUCCCCCUGGAGCCGCGGCUGACGCCCGAUCCGGGCCGCGCCGGGAGCAGAAGGGACUUUUCUCCCAGCGCCCCAGCAGGGCGCCAGCCCGCCGCCGCAGAGGACGCCGUCGUGAGGGAGGGAACCGUCUUCCAACAGGCAGCGUCUGCCCUGUGGGACCUCGUGUUCAGGGCUUGAGGAGACCGUAUGCUGUCAACGUAAUCUGUCAUUUGUAGUAUGUGUGGGAAAAGUAAAGCUGGACGUCAGUCAAGGUGGGGGAUGCAUUGAUCCUGACUGGGAUCCCAUUGUAUGUUCAGAGGCCAUUUUUCUCCCCCGAAAGGGUUGUCAGGCCCUGGCUCAGGCUGCCCAGGGCAGGGGGGAAGUCCCCAUCCCUGGAGGGGUUUCCAAGCCGUGUAGAUGUGGUGCUGAGGGACAUGGGGCAGGGGUGGCCUUGGCAGGGCUGGGGGAAUGACUGGACUGGAUGAUCUUGAAGGUGAUUUCCAACCCAAAUAAUAUGAUGUGCCUUGGCAGGCACAGGGCUGUGCAGUGCUGAGCUGCACAAGCCCCUCAGCUACAGGAUGAGCCCAGCUGAGCCAUGGUUAUGGAGCCUGCAGGCAGAUCCUUCCAGGUACCAGCCCUUAGAGGCACCUGCCUAGUCCUGCCUGUGUCUGGAAAUGCAGCCAGGAGUUCUCAUGUAAACUUCCUUUACUAAUAGAGCUGUUUUCUUGUGAUAAUUUAUGUUUUAUCCCAAAGGACUGAAAAGGGAGAGUUCUGUCUGACUCUGCCUGACAGCAGGGUGCCCAGAAUCUGAUUUAUUCACUAUCUGUAUUCUUAUUAUUAUUCUGUCUCAUUAAAGCAGUUCUCUUAUUAAGGCA